CACAGGUUGGGGACCACUGAUCUAAAGGAUGUCCCUGCUCUUCCACCAUACCCCAUGUUCUCCUUGGUCAGUCCUUGGGAUACAGCUGAUGCCGAAGAAAGAAUAGCAGCAAAUCUAGAGGUUUCAGUUACAGCAGAUCGCUCGCCGGAUUUACAAUGCACAGUAACAGGACAAUGGCGAGAAUUACGGGGCAUCGAUUAUUUAUAGAUCACUGCGCCGCCUCAAACUGCUUCUGCUCUAUUUAACUGCCUGGAGCCGCACACUGUUGUCAAUACGGAGGGGGAUGAAUUAAAGGGCCGCGGCGCUGGCUGCAGCAUCCACCUGGUAGAACGCACUGUCAGUGUGAAAUGAGCAAGGAGAUUUCUUGGCCGUGGAGGAGUCUUUGCUCAGCUCUUUCUGCCACAAGGCUGACGUAUGCUCUCAGAUAAUUCUGUAAGAUGGUUUUUGGAAGGUGCUGAUCACCCAGGGGCUAAACGCACACCCACUGUAAUGGAAACCAUUGAUUUGUGCCACCAGCUAAGCUGUACAGCUGAAGGAGAGGGGUGACCAUUGCUCUCCCUCCCUUCCUGCCUCUAUAAUGCCCCUGGAAUUGGAGAGACAGACAGCAAAUAAAAUUCAGUGUGAUGAAGAGGAAUGUGAGAGAGGUUGACCACAAUAAAAUGUCAGGUGUUGUAUUGGUUAGGUCUAAAAGGAGUAACGUUACUGGAGAGAAA